rnacentral:tRNA from 1 species
AAUAAAGUGCCUGAAAAAGGAUUAUUUUGAUAGAAUAAGUCAUGUAUAUUAUACCUUUAUUA